GCUCCUAUGGCUCAGUUGGUAGAGCGCAUCACUAGUAAUGAUGAGGUCCUCAGUUCGAAUCUGAGUGGGAGCA
rfam:Coccidioides posadasii str. Silveira unplaced genomic scaffold supercont2.14, whole genome shotgun sequence.